rnacentral:rRNA from 1 species
AUUGAACGCUGGCGGCAUGCUUUGCACAUGCAAGUCGAACGGUAACAGGCCUUCGGGUGCUGACGAGUGGCGCACGGGUGAGUAAUGCAUCGGAACGUACCCAGAGGUGGGGGAUAACGCAGCGAAAGCUGUGCUAAUACCGCAUGUGAUCUGAGGAUGAAAGCGGGGGACCGAGCAGCAAUGUUUGGCCUCGCGCCUUUGGAGCGGCCGAUGUCGGAUUAGCUAGUUGGUGGGGUAAAGGCCUACCAAGGCGACGAUCCGUAGCUGGUCUGAGAGGACGACCAGCCACACUGGGACUGAGACACGGCCCAGACUCCUACGGGAGGCAGCAGUGGGGAAUUUUGGACAAAGGGCGCAAGCCUGAUCCAGCAAUGCCGCGUGCGGGAAGAAGGCCUUCGGGUUGUAAACCGCUUUUGGCAGGAACGAAACGGUGUCCGCUAAUACCGGGCGCUAAUGACGGUACCUGCAGAAUAAGCACCGGCUAACUACGUG